rnacentral:rRNA from 1 species
AUUGAACGCUGGCGGCAGGCCUAACACAUGCAAGUCGGACGAGCGGCGGACGGGUGAGUAAUGUAUGGGAAUCUGCCUGAUGGAGGGGGAUAACUACUGGAAACGGUAGCUAAUACCGCAUACCAUCAGAUGAACCCAUAUGGGAUUAGCUUGUUGGUGAGGUAACGGCUCACCUAGGCGACGAUCCCUAGCUGGUCUGAGAGGAUGAUCAGCCACACUGGGACUGAGACACGGCCCAGACUCCUACGGGAGGCAGCAGUGGGGAAUAUUGCACAAUGGGCGAAAGCCUGAUACAGCCAUGCCGCGUGUAUGAAGAAGGCCUUCGGGUUGUAAAGUACUUUCAGCGGGGAGGCGUUACCGACAGAAGAAGCACCGGCUAACUCCGUGCCAGCAGCCGCGGUAAUUC